UGGCUCAGGAUGAACGCUAGCGGCAGGCUUAACACAUGCAAGUCGAGGGGCAUCGGGAGUAGCAAUACUGCCGGCGACCGGCGCAAGGGUGCGUAACGCGUGAGCAACAUGCCCGUAUCAGGGGGGAUAAUCCAUGGAAACGUGGUCUAAUACCCCAUAGUAAUUAUGUAAGGCAUCUUAUAUAAUUUAAAGCUUUGGUGGAUACGGAUUGGCUCGCGUGGCAUUAGCUGGAUGGUAAGGUAACGGCUUACCAUGGCUACGAUGUCUAGGGGUUCUGAGAGGAAGGUCCCCCACACUGGAACUGAGACACGGUCCAGACUCCUACGGGAGGCAGCAGUGAGGAAUAUUGGACAAUGGAUGGAAAUCUGAUCCAGCCAUGCCGCGUGCAGGAAGAACCGGCCCUAUGGGUUGUAAACUGCUUUUGUAUGGGAGCAAUAAGGGCUACGUGUAGUCCGAUGAGAGUACCAUACGAAUAAGCACCGGCUAACUCCGUGCCAGCAGCUGC
rnacentral:rRNA from 1 species